AGAACGAACGCUGGCGGCAGGCUUAACACAUGCAAGUCGAACGCGUGUAGCAAUACACGAGUGGCGCACGGGUGAGUAACGCGUGGAUAUCUGCCUUUUGGUUCGGAAUAACCCCGGGAAACUGGGGCUAAUACCGGAUGGUUCCUACGGGAUAAAGAUUUAUCGCCAAAAGAUGAGUCCGCGUCCGAUUAGCUAGUUGGUGGGGUAAUGGCCUACCAAGGCGACGAUCGGUAGCUGGUCUGAGAGGACGAUCAGCCACACUGGGACUGAGACACGGCCCAGACUCCUACGGGAGGCAGCAGUGGGGAAUAUUGGACAAUGGGCGCAAGCCUGAUCCAGCAAUGCCGCGUGAGUGAAGAAGGUCUUCGGAUUGUAAAGCUCUUUCGACGGGGACGAUGAUGACGGUACCCGUAGAAGAAGCCCCGGCUAACUUCGUGCCAGCAGCCGC
rnacentral:rRNA from 1 species